UACGGGAGGCAGCAGUGGGGAAUAUUGCACAAUGGGCGAAAGCCUGAUGCAGCUAUGCCGCGUGUAUGAAGAAGGCCUUAGGGUUGUAAAGUACUUUCAUCGGGGAGGAAAAAACAAAACUAAUAAUUUUAUUUCUUGACGUUACCCGAAAAAGAAGCACCGGCUAACUCCGUGCCAGCAGCCGCGGUAAUACGGAGGGUGCUAGCGUUAAUCAGAAUUACUGGGCGUAAAGAGCACGUAGGUGGUUUUUUAAGUCAGAUGUGAAAUCCCUGGGCUUAACCUAGGAACUGCAUUUUGAAACUGAAAUACUAGAGUAUCGUAGAGGGAGGUAGAAUUCUAGGUGUAGCGGUGAAAUGCGUAGAUAUCUGGAGGAAUACCUGUGGCGAAAGCGGCCUCCUAAACGAAUACUGACACUGAGGGUGCGAAAGCGUGGGGAGCAAACAGGGAUUAGAUA
rnacentral:rRNA from 1 species